UUUCUGAAGCAAGUUGUAUGAGCUUACAGUGAGAUUUUAUCUGCUUUGACAACUAGUUGCCCAGGAUUUAGUGCUCAGACUUGUAUGUAUUACGCUCCUUUUCCCUACAACAAACUUUUGUGGAACGAGCUGUGGACCUGCGGUUUUGGGGGCGUUUGGUUCAUAAUGAGCAUGGAAAGAGGAAUGAGAAUGAGAACGGAGCACAUGGGGAACUAAUAUUGGCAAUGAUACAAAUUAUGUUUUCUUUUUGUUCAGUACACUGACAUGACAGAUACUGCAGCUGCUGAUCAAGCCACUGUUGAGUUGAUUGUGAACACUCCGCAUCGGUUCUUCCCUGGUUUUGAUUACAAGUACCAUCAUGGAUUGAUCUUCAGGAACUAGAUUUUGUUGAGGCCAAGAAACAAUGUGAAGUGUUUGGAUAAUUUUCAGCAGCUAUCCCCCCCAUAUUGAAGACUAUGUAUAUGCUCCAAAGGUGCAUUGGACUUUAAGUACCACCAGGUUGUUAACUAUGGAAUUCAUGGAUGGUGCAUACGUGAGUGAUGUGAAAGCUUAGCAAUCCCAAUUCCGAAGACUUUGAAUUCAACUGAACUAAGUUGCUAAAUUGAGAUGGAAUUCAUCUAUCUGCUGAAGGGAGCAAGAUAGUUGUGGAGGAGAUAUUGAAGGUACUCAAAGAGGCCAACUGGAAGCCAUCACUACACUGGAAAUCCAUGCCAAGUCAAUUUUCGGAGGAUUCACCAUAUGAUCUCCUCACGGCAGAUGGGAAAUCCACAUUGAAUCCCUCCGAAUGGACGUUCCAUAGAGCGAUUCAGUGGGACUAUGUUGGAGAAAUGGCUUCAAUGUCUCUGUUUUUUUUUUUUUUUUAAUGCAGAAACUGUACACAACAAGUCAACAAUGCGAAGAAUGGAAAUCUGUAACAUCAGAGAAUCAUGGAAAAAGUGGCAGAAUAGUGGAUCUUAUUUAUAUUUCAAUGCAAUUCCUCCUUGUAAAAGUAAUCGUGAAGUUGAAUUUGCUUUAGACAUGUAGUGGUGGAGUUUUCUCCUGUAUAGAACAGAACCCUUUUUUUUUUUUGUGUGGCUAUGUUUAAUUUUUAAUUACUGCUCCAUGUCUGCGUCCAUGCCCAUAAUAAUCUAUGUACAGCACUUGCUUUUGAAAACUAGGUCUUACACAAUCUCAAUAAUAAAUUUUUUUUUGGGAAUUUACAGGGAGAAGUUAAAAAACAAGGCACCAUUAAGUUUAAAUUGAAAAUAUUCAA